rnacentral:rRNA from 1 species
ACUUAAGCAUAUCAAUAAGCGGAGGAAAAGAAACCAACAGGGAUUGCCCCAGUAACGGCGAGUGAAGCGGCAACAGCUCAAAUUUGAAAUCUGGCCCCCCGCGGGCCCGAGUUGUACUUUGGAGAGGACGCUUCUGGCGCGGCGCCGUCCGAGUUCCCUGGAACGGGACGCCGGAGAGGGUGAGAGCCCCGUACGGGCGGCCGCCUAGCCUCUGCGAAGCUCCUUCGACGAGUCGAGUAGUUUGGGAAUGCUGCUCAAAAUGGGAGGUAAAUUUCUUCUAAAGCUAAAUACCGGCCAGAGACCGAUAGCGCACAAGUAGAGUGAUCGAAAGAUGAAAAGCACUUUGAAAAGAGGGUCAAACAGUACGUGAAAUUGUUGAAAGGGAAGCGCCUGUGGCCAGACUUGCGCCCCGCGGACCACCCGGCGCCUCGCGCGCCGGGGCACGCCAGCGGGGCGCAGGCCAGCAUCGGCUCUCUCGGGGGGACAAAGGCCGCGGGAACGUAGCGCCCUCGCGGCGUAUUAUAGCCCGCGGCGCCAUGCCCCCGGGGGGGCCGAGGACCGCGCUCCGGCAAGGAUGCUGGCGUAAUGGCCACCGGCGACCCGUCUUGAAACACGGACCAAGGAGUCAAGCAUUGGGGCGAGUGUCUGGGUGGCAAGCCCGCACGCGGAAUGAAAGUGAACGCAGGUGGGAGCUUCGGCGCACCACCGACCGAUCCUGAUGUCCUCGGAUGGAUUUGAGUAGGAGCCCCGCCGCUUGGACCCGAAAGAUGGUGAACUAUGCCUGUAUAGGGUGAAGCCAGAGGAAACUCUGGUGGAGGCCCGCAGCGGUUCUGACGUGCAAAUCGAUCGUCAAAUAUGGGCAUGGGGGCGAAAGACUAAUCGAACCAUCUAGUAGCUGGUUACCGCCGAAGUCCCCC